GGGGAAUAUUGCACAAUGGGCGAAAGCCUGAUGCAGCAACGCCGCGUGAGCGAUGAAGGCCUUUGGGUCGUAAAGCUCUGUCCUAGGGGAAGAAUAAAUGACGGUACCCUUGGAGGAAGCCCCGGCUAACUACGUGCCAGCAGCCGCGGUAAUACGUAGGUGGCAAGCGUUGUCCGGAUUUACUGGGCGUAAAGAGUAUGUAGGCGGACAUUUAAGUCAGAUGUGAAAUCCCCGGGCUUAACCUGGGAGCUGCAUUUGAUACUGGGUGUCUAGAGUGUAGGAGAGGAAAGUGGAAUUCCUAGUGUAGCGGUGAAAUGCGUAGAGAUUAGGAAGAACACCAGUGGCGAAGGCGACUUUCUGGACUAUAACUGACACUGAGAUACGAAAGCGUGGGGAGCAAACA
rnacentral:rRNA from 2 species